rnacentral:lncRNA from 1 species
UUGUUGGAUGGAAUGACAGUUCCAAUGAAGAAGUUUGCAAUAGCAAUUAGAAGAAUGACCAGAAGAAUGACUUGGGCCUGGAAUGGAAAGUGCUAACUGCAGCAGUUCGAGAAUGCAGAAUGAUGAAUACAAUUCCUGUGAUUCCCAGUGCACUUGACGUCAGGCUGCCGCUGUGUGCUCAGCACAAGCAGUCUGCAAAGUUGACUGGUCAGAUGGUCUUCCUUCAGCCCCUCCAAUGCUGCAAGGCAGCUUGAAAGAGGAACCAGGGUUUGUGAUUGAGAGACCCAGGCUUCCAGCGUGCACCACUGCUAUGAUCAUAAGGGGUCUGUGCAUAAGGCAGCCGCCUUGGUGACAGCACAGAGAGACAAAAUACGGCAGUCAUGUGACUCGUGAGCCCUGAAUCAUGACUGCCUGGGCUUCGUGCUUUGCAGGCUUGGUGUUCCACCUAGCACUUGCCUGCUCAUUUCACCAUAGCAGGUAAUAACAGCAAUUCCUUUUGAAUAUGGAGUUCCCUCUACUCCUGCAAUUUGUUCAGGACCUGACCAG